GAAGUUCCGUCUACCACCGAAGAAGAAAAAGAAGGACCAGAGAUAUAAGAGAUUUCAUCUGAGUAGCUCCAGCAAAGGCAAUUUAUAUCAUCUAGAGGCAACCCAUCAUCCAACAAUGUAUACGGUUCAUCAUGUGGUUUCUUGCUUUUAACUUGCUAUCUCCGUUAAUAAAUUUGUAAACUCUUGUUCUUCAUGCCAGAUGGGAAAAAGCCUUAAUACUUUCUUCUAUAACAUUUAUAUUUGUAGCCAAUUAACCUUUGUAAUUAAUAUUUUCUGAUACCAGGGACAGACAUACUCUCUUGUUAUCUAUUCAAGGUUUGACUAUAAGAUACAUUUCAUUGAUGAUGUUAGUAGAUUUA